AAAUUGAAGAGUUUGAUCAUGGCUCAGAUUGAACGCUGGCGGCAGGCCUAACACAUGCAAGUCGAACGGUAACAGGAAGCAGCUUGCUGCUUUGCUGACGAGUGGCGGACGGGUGAGUAAUGUCUGGGAAACUGCCUGAUGGAGGGGGAUAACUACUGGAAACGGUAGCUAAUACCGCAUAACGUCGCAAGACCAAAGAGGGGGACCUUCGGGCCUCUUGCCAUCGGAUGUGCCCAGAUGGGAUUAGCUUGUUGGUGGGGUAACGGCUCACCAAGGCGACGAUCCCUAGCUGGUCUGAGAGGAUGACCAGCCACACUGGAACUGAGACACGGUCCAGACUCCUACGGGAGGCAGCAGUGGGGAAUAUUGCACAAUGGGCGCAAGCCUGAUGCAGCCAUGCCGCGUGUAUGAAGAAGGCCUUCGGGUUGUAAAGUACUUUCAGCGGGGAGGAAGGGAGUAAAGUUAAUACCUUUGCUCAUUGACGUUACCCGCAGAAGAAGCACCGGCUAACUCCGUGCCAGCAGCCGCGGUAAUACGGAGGGUGCAAGCGUUAAUCGGAAUUACUGGGCGUAAAGCGCACGCAGGCGGUUUGUUAAGUCAGAUGUGAAAUCCCCGGGCUCAACCUGGGAACUGCAUCUGAUACUGGCAAGCUUGAGUCUCGUAGAGGGGGGGUAGAAUUCCAGGUGUAGCGGUGAAAUGCGUAGAGAUCUGGAGGAAUACCGGUGGCGAAGGCGGCCCCCUGGACGAAGACUGACGCUCAGGUGCGAAAGCGUGGGGAGCAAACAGGAUUAGAUACCCUGGUAGUCCACGCCGUAAACGAUGUCGACUUGGAGGUUGUGCCCUUGAGGCGUGGCUUCCGGAGCUAACGCGUUAAGUCGACCGCCUGGGGAGUACGGCCGCAAGGUUAAAACUCAAAUGAAUUGACGGGGGCCCGCACAAGCGGUGGAGCAUGUGGUUUAAUUCGAUGCAACGCGAAGAACCUUACCUGGUCUUGACAUCCACGGAAGUUUUCAGAGAUGAGAAUGUGCCUUCGGGAACCGUGAGACAGGUGCUGCAUGGCUGUCGUCAGCUCGUGUUGUGAAAUGUUGGGUUAAGUCCCGCAACGAGCGCAACCCUUAUCCUUUGUUGCCAGCGGUCCGGCCGGGAACUCAAAGGAGACUGCCAGUGAUAAACUGGAGGAAGGUGGGGAUGACGUCAAGUCAUCAUGGCCCUUACGACCAGGGCUACACACGUGCUACAAUGGCGCAUACAAAGAGAAGCGACCUCGCGAGAGCAAGCGGACCUCAUAAAGUGCGUCGUAGUCCGGAUUGGAGUCUGCAACUCGACUCCAUGAAGUCGGAAUCGCUAGUAAUCGUGGAUCAGAAUGCCACGGUGAAUACGUUCCCGGGCCUUGUACACACCGCCCGUCACACCAUGGGAGUGGGUUGCAAAAGAAGUAGGUAGCUUAACCUUCGGGAGGGCGCUUACCACUUUGUGAUUCAUGACUGGGGUGAAGUCGUAACAAGGUAACCGUAGGGGAACCUGCGGUUGGAUCACCUCCUUA
rnacentral:rRNA from 1 species